UUUUAUGGUAUCUUACUGUACUGGUUCUGGUUUUUUGCUAUAUUCGCGAGGCCCUCCAUCCCGUGAAAAGUAAUCUUCGCUUAAAUAUUCACCAUUAGUAUAAUUCUAAUUCAAGUAGUAUGCAAUCUUUAAAAUUUUGCAAAUAUUAAGCCUCGCGAACAUACUAAAAAAUUUCAAAAUCGCUAAAUUAUGUGCUUUUACAGUAACGUCAUUUUUAUAUUUUUAUGAUAACAUUUUGACUUUUUAAGUACGAUUUAUGAGUGUCAAAAAUGACAGAUAACCAAAUAAAUCACUGAUUAUUUCUAAAAACAUUCAAUCUGAAAAUCUGCCAAGAAGAUCAUAUGGAACAGUAGAAUGCAACUUUGGCAAAACAUUUCCAGCCUUUUGAUUAGGUCUUUACAUGGCAGGUAACGAAGUGUGCGACACUCUUCGUGUUCCAUACACCAUAGCGCUUUAUAGAAUUAUCAAAAUAUGUAUGAGCAUUGAAUGAACUCUUUGAUCUCAAUGGUGGGGGUAAUAUUAUCUACUAUAUAUUUAUAACACUAUCUGUGUCUUGUAUUAUUUAAUAUUAUAGGUAGUAUUGUUGUUGAGUUUGUUAUUGCCGGGUCUGCAGCGGAUGUGAAUUCAACAGUUUAUGGCAUCUGUGGUGACAUCUACAACGGAACACAGUACAUCUACAACAACUUUACAUUGACGAUGUCACCUUACAUGCAAUUAAACAACACUGACUUCUAUGGUGUAAAAUGUGGUGAUAUACCAGACGACAAGGAGAACGAAGAUACUGCGCUUUCAUUUUUGCUUCUUAUUUUCAUCGCCUCCGCCUUUGGUUUUAUUCUUUUGAUUGUUGUUGUUGUUGUCGUAAUCUGGAGAUGUAAAAUAGCACCAAAAAUAAAGGUGCACGCAUUGGACGCUCCUCGCAAAGAUGAUAGUCAACAGAUAUCUGUUGAGGACUUCCAUAGAAGUAAAAAACUGUCUUAGUAGUAAGGAAAGACCCAAAGACUCCAACUGAAGAUGAUUUGGGCACGGACGAAUCCAGGCGACCUGUCUCCAGAUUUUCUUUGAAAAUAUAGUGUCAUUUAAUAACUAUUUGUAUUAACAGCAAAACGAGAGAUUGUAUUAAAAGCUGUUUUGCUUGAAAUUUUCAUUGAUGUAGCUGCAUUGUUUUGCAUUGGUUAGAACUGCUGUUUUACUUUUUAUAGUUCUAUAUCUCUGUAUGUCUUACGUUUGAAAUAGGCAUCUAUUGUAUAUGUUUGAAAACCUUGUACUCGAGUUUUUUUUUUUUGUAAUUUAAUUUAUUUGUAUAUCAUGUCAAGAUAAUUGUUCAAUUUAUCAAAAUGUUAGGAAAGUAGUCCUAAAAUCUCUACUGUCAAAUGUGAAAGAAAUAAUGAUAAAAAGAGACAUGAAUUUUUUAUCCGAUAUAUGAUCAUUCCUUGCAAAAGCAUGCUGUUAAUGCCAUUAAUAUCAAAAGAAGAGAUUUAACUUUAAUGGAAUUGGUUCUUUCCUCAUUCAGAUCGCGCACUCCUAAUGCUUUACAAUCAUGCAAGGCAUUUUACUGGUCCAAUCCUCAUGUAUUUGGAUCCAUUUCAGUAAGCUAUAUAUACGAAGCUAUUUAAAGAUAUGUAUCAAAAAUGUUAACUACAACAAAUUAUAUAUUGAUAAAACAGUGCAAGAAAAACUCUUUCUUUUUGUAAAUAUCUUAGUUUUUCUACAACCUGGAAACAGUUAUGUUGAUUAUUGUGUGCACAUAUGAUUCAACGAGGGUGUAUUAAUAUCGCCCGAUUUGUAAUGUGGUUUUUAAAUAUCAUGCAAUCAUUACACUUAUGUUUGUAUUUUAUACUUAACCCUUUCAGUCUUACAUCUGUGUGUGAUCAUGAUUCUGUGUAUCUAACGAUUGAAAUUGUUAUUAAUGAAUACGAGUGUUCGAAAAGUAAUGCAACCAUUUUACGGGGUCUACUCUGUAGUUUUUAAAUUAUAUUUAUUUUAUUAAAAAUCUGGUUUAUUUUGAAUAAUUGAUUUUUCAUCUUCUCUUUAGCAACUGCUUAGUACUUCUGAUCAAAGAGGGGAGCAGUUUUGACACCUAUGUUCUGAUAUAUAUAAAGGUUACUAGACAUUUAGAAAAAGACAAACAAAUUUCGUUCAAAAAUCUCAAGUUACUACAUAAAAUUCUUAUUUAAACAACUAUUUUCUUUUGAAACUACAUGUAUUUAUUUGUGGGAUGUUAUUACAUUUCUAAAAGUGGAAAUAAAUCAGUAGUUUUCUUUUCAAAUCGUUAUAAUUUUAUUACAAAGUUUUGGGAGGACUCAUAUAUAUUUAGUACGAGAAACUACAAGAUACCUACGUUAAGAGUCAUUGUCAAUUUUGAGAGGUCUACUUCUUUGCGAUCAUGCAUGCAAUUCAAAAAAAGAAAUACACAUUAUUAUAUUUCUUGCUUUAUGGAGUUCAACCACAUUUUAUAGUCAUCAGAACAAAAGUAUAUUUACCAAAUCGGAUAUCAUAGUACCCUUAUAAAAUGUACGUAGAUAAGUUUCUUAUUGUUUUCUGUUACUGCUGUUGUUGUUGUUGAUAUUAUUUAAAUUAUUAUUAUUUUUCGUGUGAAAUUUGUAUUGAAUACAACCAAAACGCUAAUAUUUACAAUUAUGUUCCAUCUUCUAGUUAAACAUAAAAGAUAAACAAAUAUAAAGAGUGGUUGCAUUUCCUUUCGGACAUCAUGCCAUCAAUAUGUUCCAGAUAUAUUCACGCCUAAAAACAACAUACUCCUAAACCCAUGCAAACAAUUUAAUGAAACUUCACCCAAGUGAUCAGUAGUAACUUUAGUUGUGUAUGGUGCAUGUAAGGUUCUUUCAGAAAAAAUCUGCAUAGUAACGGGACUUUGUUUUUGUUAAUAUACUAUAUACAUAGAGUCUGAAUAUACAAUAUUGUGCGCGCCUAAUCUCCUUAACCCUUGCACACAAUUUAAUGAAACUUCACACAAGUGAUCAGUACCAAACCCUAGUUGUGCAUGGUGCAUGUUACGUUAUUUUAGAUACGUAUUCUGCAAAGUUAUGGGACUUUGGUUUUUGUUACUAUACUAUAUACAUAGUCUGCAUAUGCAAUCUUGUGUGCGCCAAAUCUACCGAACCAUUGCACACAAUUUAAUGAAAUUUCACACAAGUGAUCAGUACCAACCUUACUAGUGCAUGGUAUAGAGUUAUGGGACUUUGAUUUUUGUUACUGUUCUAUAUACAUAGAGUCUAUAUACAUACAGUCCACAUAAUGAUGCAAUCUUGUGUGCAUCAAAUUGCAUUGGACAGUGUCAGUGCAUGCGGGGGUACAUUCAUCACCUUCAGUGAUAGCUCUAGUUGUUUUUGUUCUUUUCAUUUUUGUGAUUUAAUUUGGAUAUUUCAGUGCCUUGAUGUUUGUUCAAUAAAUUAAAAUUUUAUGAUAGUGCUCCGUUAAAUAUGAAAGUCGUGUUAAAAAGAAAUUUGUAGUUUUAUUCAACAAAUGAUAGCAUUAUAUUAAGGCCAUGUUUACGCACUUUAUGGAAACGAGAACUACUUUCAUUGAAAUUGUAUUUCAAUAACAAGCUCAUCCUUAGGUUAAAGCCUCAUGUACUUGGACCCGUUUCCACGACAUAACAUAGGAUAAAUUUGUAUGAAUUAAAAGACUUUCUGUAGGCAUAUAUAUAUAUAUAUAACACUAAAGUCAAACGUAUCUGAGCAUGUAAGUCAUAACAUAUGAAAUAAAGCUUUGUUAAAAUCCGUAUAAAGGAGAGAACUGUGUAUGAAAUAUAAUUUUUGAACAAGUUUGUUAAGCAGGCUGUAGAUAUUUUAUUUUUAAAGUUUGUCAGAUGUCAUCUUAAUCAUUUAAAAAACUAAACGGGACGGGUACACAAAAUAAAGUAAUACCCAUUUUGUCUAAAAAACGAUUCUGGUUUAGGUGUAUUCGUAUUCGUUUGUUUCUUUUUAUAUUUCUUUUUCUACCUUAUAAUUGGACUUUCUGUUAAAAAUGGAACGAAGGCAAAAAUCACUAAAUACGCUUAUGAAUGUAUGAAAACAAACCGUUUUUUUUUUUAAAUAUAUUAAGAAGUGUGCUUAUGACUCUUUUGGCUUUUGUUAUUUCUGUGUAAGAUAAAAAAACAUGUACUAGCUUUUCUAAUAUGUUACUAAAAGACGUCACGUCAGUUAUAAAAACCCAGCCUCCCAGUCUCUGAAGGGCGCCAUUUAGAAGAGAAUAGCACAUGAAACAGUACAGCUGGUGUAACCAAAUGCAAAUGCAUUUUAUAAAUAUUAAAUAUUAGAUAUGCUUAGUCUUUUGGUACACAGUUUACUUGUUUUCGAACGAAUUUUUCAAUUUUUAGUCCUUUAUCAGUCCUUAGACUUACCAUAUCCGUCCGUUAUUCCGUCAGUCAAUUCAUUCAAACUUUAGUGUCCGGUACAUAAAUCUGUCAUUCAUCAAGGGAUAUUAAAAUUACUUGGCACAAGUGUGAAACCAUAUUACGUGCAACAUCCAUAUUCCUAAUUGAAGGGUCAAGGUCACACUAGAAGGACAAAAGUCAAUAGCGUUUUGCUCCUGUCCAUUCCAUAACUCAACCAUCCCUCAAAGGAUAUAAUAUUACUUGACACAAAUGUCUCCCAUAUUAGGAUAAUUUGGCCUGAACAACAUCCAGACACCCACUUUAAAGGACAGGGUUAUAUUUAAAGAUAAAAUAUAUUCAGUAUUUUCUCUUGUCCGGUCAUUUUUUCAUGCAUCUAUUGAUAUUCAAAUAACAGAGAACAAACAUUCACUGUUACUAUUAAAAGUGUCAAAAAUAUAUCCAACUCCCAAAUCUAAAAGGCCAGGAUUGCAUUUGCAAAUCAAUCAUUUACUGUGUCUAUUUUGUAUCAGCUACAUGAUUUUGCAAUCCAUCAUAAUAAUACUAAACACUAACACAUUGUAUUCCGUAAAUAUGAUAAUGUGUCUUGCGAAACACCCAGCAACAUCAAGGUCGCUUUUUGAGUUCAAAGGUUAACAGGGUCUGUAUUCGUUUAUCCCAAUAACUAUUCUAUCCAUCAAAGGGUUUCAAUGUUACAUUACGAAAAUGUUCUCCAUAAUAAAAUGUUUUACCAGGCGAGACCCAUACCCCUGACUUAACGAUCAAAGCCACACUCGGAGGUCAAAUGUAAACAAAUCUGAUUUAUGGCCUCUUCAAAACGCUUCUAUUGUAUUAUUGUAUAGGAUUUUAAUAUUACUUAACAGAUUGUUUGCCACGCGAAUAAACAUAGACCCUUAGUUCAAAGACCAAGAUCACAUCAAGGUCACACAUAGAACAUAAAGUCUUAAGGUCAUUGUCCUAUAGUUUUUCUAUAGUUUUCCUCACAAGUAGAUGUGUCACAAUGAACUGAUAAAAAUGUUGUUGGUGCACUUUCUUCGGACGUAUUUCCUUUUAAUUUGAUGACGUAUUUCAUUUUACUUUUACCCUAUUUUUUCUCAAAUUUGCAAAUAAAAUGUUAGAAAAUUAUUUCAUUCCUCAAGCACUCUGACUGAAAAUUGCUAAGCCUUAUUUCCCUAUGAUAAUAAACAUUUCUACAAAAUCUUAGAUAUAUAUGUAGUUCCGAAAAGACAGAUAGAAGUGUUGAUUGAAAUACUACCUGGUUCAGAAAUAGUAUGUGCGUGAAGUCGUUCCUUAAAUUAGUCUAACUGACACUUGCAAGACUACAUUACUCUAUAAUCGUAAACAUUUAGCUACAAAUUUAAAACAUUACUAACCAUGUCUUCGUUAUGACUCCGGACGGAAGUAUGUUUGAACAGCGGAAAUAAUAUUGCGAGGAGAGAGCGAACUUGGCGCCAGUUCUGUACUUACACUGGAUAACUUGUCAUAUAACACAAUUUAAUAUCGUCAAUUCGAAUAUCUGUUUUUUUUAUAAGAAAACACAAAAAAAUCAAUUAGAUGUCUACACAGCCUCAGUGUCAUAUAUUCUUGAAUAAACCCUUGUGUAGAUCGUACGGAUAUACUAUUUGUCGAUAAUCAUAAAUAAACUAGUUUCA